GAGCUUGCUCCCUUAGGUCAGCGGCGGACGGGUGAGUAACACGUGGGUAACCUGCCUGUAAGACUGGGAUAACUCCGGGAAACCGGGGCUAAUACCGGAUGCUUGAUUGAGCCGCAUGGUUCAAUUAUAAAAGGUGGCUUUCAGCUACCACUUACAGAUGGACCCGCGGCGCAUUAGCUAGUUGGUGAGGUAACGGCUCACCAAGGCGACGAUGCGUAGCCGACCUGAGAGGGUGAUCGGCCACACUGGGACUGAGACACGGCCCAGACUCCUACGGGAGGCAGCAGUAGGGAAUCUUCCGCAAUGGACGAAAGUCUGACGGAGCAACGCCGCGUGAGUGAUGAAGGUUUUCGGAUCGUAAAACUCUGUUGUUAGGGAAGAACAAGUACCGUUCGAAUAGGGCGGCACCUUGACGGUACCUAACCAGAAAGCCACGGCUAACUACGUGCCAGCAGCCGCGGUAAUACGUAGGUGGCAAGCGUUGUCCGGAAUUAUUGGGCGUAAAGCGCGCGCAGGCGGUUUCUUAAGUCUGAUGUGAAAGCCCCCGGCUCAACCGGGGAGGGUCAUUGGAAACUGGGGAACUUGAGUGCAGAAGAGGAGAGUGGAUUCCACGUGUAGCGGUGAAAUGCGUAGAGAUGUGGA
rnacentral:rRNA from 1 species